UACGUAGGGUGCAAGCGUUAAUCGGAAUUACUGGGCGUAAAGCGUGCGCAGGCGGUGAUGUAAGACAGAUGUGAAAUCCCCGGGCUCAACCUGGGAACUGCAUUUGUGACUGCAUCGCUGGAGUACGGCAGAGGGGGAUGGAAUUCCGCGUGUAGCAGUGAAAUGCAUAGAUAUGCGGAGGAACACCGAUGGCGAAGGCAAUCCCCUGGGCCUGCACUGACGCUCAUGCACGAAAGCGUGGGGAGCAAACAGG
rnacentral:rRNA from 1 species